rnacentral:rRNA from 1 species
AGUGAACGCUGGCGGUAGGCCUAACACAUGCAAGUCGAACGGCAGCACAGGAGAGCUUGCUCUCUAGGUGGCGAGUGGCGGACGGGUGAGGAAUACAUCGGAAUCUGCCCAGUCGUGGGGGAUAACGUAGGGAAACUUACGCUAAUACCGCAUACGUCCUUCGGGUGAAAGAGGGGGAUCGCAAGACCUCUCUCGAUUGGAUGAGCCGAUGUCGGAUUAGCUAGUUAGCGGGGUAAUGGCCCACCAAGGCGACGAUCCGUAGCUGGUCUGAGAGGAUGAUCAGCCACACUGGAACUGAGACACGGUCCAGACUCCUACGGGAGGCAGCAGUGGGGAAUAUUGGACAAUGGGCGCAAGCCUGAUCCAGCCAUACCGCGUGGGUGAAGAAGGCCUUCGGGUUGUAAAGCCCUUUUGUUGGGAAAGAAAUCUUUCAGGCUAAUACCCUGGGAGGAUGACGGUACCCAAAGAAUAAGCACCGGCUAACUUCGUG